AAGACAUGAAGUUAGGUCAGCAAACCCGCUGAAUUUAAGCAUAUAAGUAAGCGGAGGAAAAGAAACUAAAUAGGAUUCCCUCAGUAAUGGCGAAUGAACAGGGAUGAGCUCAGUAUGGAAAUUGGGGCCUGUGGCCUUGAAUUGUAGUCUGGAGAUGUACCACCAACUGGGGCGCAGAUGUAAGCCUCUUGGAAAAGAGCAUCAAUGAGGGUGAGAGUCCCGCUUGGCAUCUGCAGUCCCCAGUGCACGGUGUACCUUCUAAGAGUCACGUUCCUCGGGAUUGGAGCGCAAAUUGGGUGGUAAGUUUCAUCUAAAGCUAAAUAUUGUUUCGAGACCGAUAGCAAACAAGUACCAUGAGGGAAAGGUGAAAAGGACUUUGAAAAGAGAGUUAAAAGUGCCUGAAAUUGCUGAAAGGGAAGCGAAUGGAACCAGCGCAACUUGGCGAGAUUGCUGCGUGUCAAUGUGAUUGCUUGCUGCUUCAACGUAAGUGUGGUAGUAAGUCUUGAACAGGACGUGCGCGGUGCUUCUUGCCUUGUGUGUCACCGUCAGUUCGCAGCUGGGGAAAACUUCAGGGACAUGGUAGCCUGUCUCCGGGCGGGUGAACGUGUUUGCUGGAACUCAUUUGUGGACUGUUUGGUGACUAAAUGGUUCCAUCUGACCCGUCUUGAAACACGGACCAAGGAGUCU
rnacentral:rRNA from 1 species